ACUGCAAUUGAUAUCACAGAUGCAAGUCUUGUUUUCUUUACAAUCUUGAGGCACAAUCACUACUACUUGAUGUGCUUUAACAUCCCCAAGUCAAAACUUCAGAUCAUUGAUAACAAGCUAAUGCCCAAGGGAAUACCAAAUACGAACAGAUAUGAGAACUGCCCGGCUAAGUUGAAAACAGCUUUCUACAAAUACCUCCAAUCGAAGAAAAACACCCUUGCAAGAAAAGUGAAGAAUAUCGAAGCUGAGUGCAUUCACAUGCCAUGGCAAGAUGAAGAGAACACAACAGAUUGUGGUGUGUAUUGCAUGCGCCACAUGGAAACUUACAAAGGGACUGCAGUAGACAAAUG